rnacentral:rRNA from 1 species
UACGGAGGGUGCAAGCGUUAUCCGGAUUCACUGGGUUUAAAGGGUGCGUAGGCGGGCAGGUAAGUCAGUGGUGAAAUCCCCGAGCUUAACUCGGGAACUGCCAUUGAUACUAUCUGUCUUGAAUAUUGUGGAGGUAAGCGGAAUAUGUCAUGUAGCGGUGAAAUGCUUAGAUAUGACAUAGAACACCUAUUGCGAAGGCAGCUUACUACGCAUAUAUUGACGCUGAGGCACGAAAACGUGGGGAUCAAACAGG